AGCCUUGCACAGCAGCAGUAUCGUAGCCAAUGAGGUUUAUCCGAGGUGCGAUUAUUGCUAAUAGUUGUGGAGUUUGUUCUGCCAGUCUUCAGGACAAUUUCUCAGGUAUUUAGGGUGAU
rnacentral:snRNA from 1 species